rnacentral:miRNA from 1 species
UAAUUAUCACAUUCUACUA